CACAGUAGAAGUCUUCUGCAUAGUCCCUGCAAACGGGUAGGGCUUUACUGCCAAGUCUGGAUGCAUCUUCAUCGUUACUUUUCUGGAAGCUGAGUGAAAGGGCUCCAUGUGCACUCCCUCAUCAAUUCACUGAUCUAAUCAGCCAUGCUAAAGAACUUGGGAGCAAGAGCAAUUUGGGGUGCAGGUCACCUGAAACAGAGCUUCUGCCAGAAACCUGAGGAUAAGGUAGCUCUUGUCUAAGCUUUCACCCCAUUCAAAACGUAUUUCAUUCCAAAACAAAAAGAGAGAAGGUCUUUUUUCCCCAUAUAUUCUUUCCCCGUUUAUAAAUUGGUAUCAGCAAUCUCCAGCUGACAUUGAUCCCCAGAAACCUCCUCAUGCAGUCCGAACAUAUAUGAAAAUCAAGACCCUUUAUGGCUUACAAUCAAUCAGACUCCCUCCCUACCUUCACCCCACCAUUUCUCUCAUCCAUCCCCUAGCACUCAGAGUAGCCUUGUGCAAAUCUGAGCCUCCUCCACUCCAGGCUGUGAAGCAAAAAUCAGAGGGUUAAGAGUUUAGCUGAGGGAUAGAAGCUAUACAUAUAGUGACUGUAGUAGAAGCAAUGUAGAAAGUGGCUGAGCCAGUAGAGCUAAGACAAUAAAUCUCUUGCUUGGCUUUGUUGUGUCAAGAUGGGUGGAUGGGAUAUUAUUAAUUAAAGAAACUGUAAUUGCACCUGGGCUCUGAAGCCAGCCAGAACCAGGUUGGGAGCUUGAUCCGUGGCCAAAGGGCAUGAGAGAACCUAGCAACUAGACAAAGAUGAAAAGUUCAAGGUGAGGAAGACUCCCUGACUUCAUCAUUAGAAGACUGCUGACCCAUUUCAAACACCCACCAACCCAUUUGAAGGAAGGAAGUGCACAAGUCUAAGAGAACUUUGACCUAAUUUUAACACGAAGCGAGUCUGGGCGGGGUUAGGUAAUGCACAUGUAUAGGCAUAUUGGGUGAUUGUAUUAAUAUAUAAGACUUCUGUGUAGAAAAGAAGACAAGAGCCCUGGGUGUUUUGCACAUCCCUGUGGGAGAUUUCUCCCAGGUGUGCCCAGCAUUGUAAUAAACAUACCACUUUCUAAAAUCAAGUAGUUGGAGAGUCCUUGUUUUGACAUCAAUCGGUGAGCCAGCCAGGAGAAACGCUUUUUGGCUGCAAGAGCAGCCCGGGCUGUGGACGUCUCUGGGACCUUCCUGGAGGGACUUCGUCUCCCCGCCUGCUCAUCACAGGGACAGGCCAGACCUGUUGCUGGUCUGCAGAAAAAACGGUAUGUUUAAAAUUACUGGGGUAGUCUGUAAGGCGCGUGAGUGGCUGAAAGGCAGCUGCUAAGUCACAGAAGAUGUUCUGUGAUCUGCACAAGCCUGUGCAGUUUUGCUUUCAAGCAUCAGGAGGGUGCAGUGGCUGGCAAAAGGGUUCCUUGUGUCAUGGAACCUGUUAGCAGUUCUGGGGGUGAACUGGACAAAUCCUUGCCUAUUGCUGCUAUUUUCCUUGUUGCUAUUUCAAUCGUUAUUUUGACUUUGUUCUGACUGUGUGAGUGACUGUGUGUGUGAUUGUUGAGAUGUACUUUUGUACGACGUGACGGCGUAGCUCGGAUUUAUGUUUUCGUGUUCAGGCGACAAAAACAGCCAGAGAAAGACAAAGCGUUUGGGGUGACCAUUUAAAAGUGCUGCAUGCUGUGCUGUGUUGAAAAGAGGUGAAUACUUUGUCCCUUAAUAAAGAGACACCCUUCCCCGCAGUGAUUUUGACUUUUGGAUUCGGUUUGUGUGUGCGGAAUUCCUGUUUACGGGGGACGGCAUUCCCUCUAACACUCGGUGUAACACUCGGCUUAACCGGUCCCCUGCCCCCGCUGCUCAUUGUGUAUUUUAGAGUAAGAUUGCCAUCUAGUGACAAAAGUUAUAAUUGCAGCAAACUGGUAAUUUUGCCCCGUGUUUCCUGUGUUGUUACUCGGGCUGUGUUGGCUGCGCUGUCGCAGUUUGCUGAUGGAAGCGCCUGUUGAAGCUCGAGCCCAAGCUGAAGGAGCCCGGCCCUGUAGGCAGGCUCUGUCUAGAUGGUUUCAGCUUGAGCCGGGAGAGUUUGUGAAUACAGACGGGGACUGGACUGCUGUAGGGUGAGAGGACGGUAGAAUAGAUAGGGUAUUUUUGGGAGGAGUAUACUCGAGCCAAACUAGUUCUUAUUUGGCUUUUGACAGGGAAGUACCCCCAGCUGAGAGAGGACUUAGAAAUCCAUUGACAUGGAGACGAGCAGGAGUAAUUCCUUGGUUUGUGUGUGGGCUGACAAUCUACCACUGGGAACUGGAAUGGCAUUCAGCUUUAGUUCUUCUCCGGUGUAAGAAGAAGUGGGAGAAUAGGUGCUACUGUAUAUCUUACAGAAGGAAAGCUGUGUGCCCCAAGUGUGUACCACAGCUGCCACGGUAUUAUAACUGGGAGGCAGCGCAUGCUAAAUGUGAAGUAGUAAAUUGAGCCUGUGGCAAAGAUCAUUUGGUCCCUGAGAGGACUGGGACGUUUUUGAGGAAGGCUGGGAGAAGAUGAGCGAAUUGUGUAAGUCUGGCGUGAGAAAUGAAAGGAACUUCCUUCCUGCAGUGAUGCGUCCUUGACCCUCGGGAGCUUAAGAUAUUAGAGGGUGGUAUUUGUGGGCUGUCAGAGUUAUAGUGUGGUGGUUAGAGCGUAUUUUAAAUCAUGGCUAGAAGAAUAGAAGGGAUCCCCCUCCCUCAGUGGUUUGGACUGGAUCCUUAGGAAUUUGUGAAUCCAGUGAACUGUUGGAUAGAAAGGGAAAACAACCAGGUUCAUCUAGAAGGAAUAUACAGACCAUCAGCAGGGAGAUUGGUAGCUUUGGACUGGGAACAGCCUGCACAAGCAGGUCUGGACAAUCAAGAGAGAAGAGGAAUAGCUUGCCUUUGUGGGUGUUAUGAGGCUUUUGGGGCUUCUAGAGGUUGGCACUCGGCGUGGUUACUGUUACAGUUGUGAAAAAGUUGGUAUUUUUUCCUCUGAAAGACGUCAAGGUCUAUGCCGUCAGUGUAAAUCGAGGCAUCCUAGCCAAGCUGAUUUUGAGCCUAAGACACAAAAUUGGUGUGUGGAAAAUCACAUUCAACACCUGCAACUUGUGUGUGUGUGUGGGAGGAAGACUGGGAAAGGACUGUGGGGCUGUGGGGAGGGAGAUUUGGGUGGAAACGGGAUAAGACAAGAAGAAGGAGAUAAUGGGUACU